AUUGAACGCUGGCGGCAGGCCUAACACAUGCAAGUCGAGCGGAUGAAGGGAGCUUGCUCCUGGAUUCAGCGGCGGACGGGUGAGUAAUGCCUAGGAAUCUGCCUGGUAGUGGGGGAUAACGUCCGGAAACGGGCGCUAAUACCGCAUCCGUCCUGAGGGAGAAAGUGGGGGAUCUUCGGACCUCACGCUAUCAGAUGAGCCUAGGUCGGAUUAGCUAGUUGGUGGGGUAAAGGCCUACCAAGGCGACGAUCCGUAACUGGUCUGAGAGGAUGAUCAGUCACACUGGAACUGAGACACGGUCCAGACUCCUACGGGAGGCAGCAGUGGGGAAUAUUGGACAACGGGCGAAAGCCUGAUCCAGCCAUGCCGCGUGUGUGAAGAAGGUCUUCGGAUUGUAAAGCACUUUAAGUUGGGAGGAAGGGCAGUAAGUUAAUACCUUGCUGUUUUGACGUUACCAACAGAAUAAGCACCGGCUAACUUCGUG
rnacentral:rRNA from 1 species